CAGACCCACCACAGCUGGACUCAGGUGACUAGUGCACGUGCAGAGGGAAGGCUGGGCUGGAAGAAGGGAGGAAAGGCCAUGGCUGCAGUAACCACUCUCAUCCAAGCUCUGCUGGCCAGAAGCAUCAUCCAGUCUGGCCUGAAGCAGCGGCAUCAGAUCAAUGGAGCCACAGCCAAAAAGAUGCUGGAGCAUGAGAUGUUUCUGCACCAGGAGUUGGUUAAUCUGCUACAGGAGAUUGAGAGUAGCAAUGGUGCAGAGAAAGCCACAAUCCCUUCUGUGUGGGUGUUUGGGAUCGCUGCAGCAGCCCUGAUCCUGCUUGCUGUGGUCUGCUGUCUGGCCAGGCGAAGCAAGCUUCAGGAGUCUCCUCAGUUGCUUACAGUCUGCUGUCCUGAUCUUCCAGCAAACAUCUCUGAGGUCGAAAUCAGCUUAACAGUUUAUGAGGACAAUAGUCCAUGUGCAACACCUCACACUCGGAUUUGUAAGCCCACUUCUUAAGUUUGCCUGGGUCUAUCUGAAUGGUAUCCCUUCUAUAGCAGUUGUAUUAAAAUUUGGGAGAGCAAGCA